rnacentral:sRNA from 1 species
CACACUGAUAAUCAUAAACAAAGCUGCGUUUGGCGCCAUUUUAGUUAAAACUGUGUGUUUCAUGGAAAAAAAUACAUUUUUGACAAGAAAGCCGCAAAUUUUUCUCAGUUUAUUGUUCGUAUGUAUGCGUUAUUUGCACUGGAAGUACUUAAUUCGCCAAAGGAUGACCGCGUACAGAAGACUGGAAAUGUUGGAAGCUACUGGAAUCGAAUCUGCACAUUGCGGUGUUUUUAGGACGUUUCUUGGCGUGUACUGUGGUUUUGAGACUAAUUUACGGACAAGCGAUGUUCGGCGAUAAAAAAAAGGGAAUCUUCCAGCCUACAAAUGCAGUGCGCGAAGGAGAACAAUCAUUCGUUCAAAGAAAUAAUUCAGAUAAGGCUACCUGUCGAAGCUGUUAAUACCCUGGCUAAUUGUUGUCUAAUAGAAACGAGCUAAGGCAUUAUUAAAACCAUUAUACCCUCUGCAAGAGUACAAAAAUAUAGAAGCGUGUGUGCUUCAGUUUUGUAAUGCGUGUCGGCCCCCAAUCAAUGCACAGCCCACAUCCAUAACGAAGCGGUCUUUCUGCAGAGAUACGAAUGCACAA